ACAAUUAGCUGUUGGGACACUAGAUGUCUUAGUAGCGAAGCUAACGCGUGAAAUUGUCCGCCUGGGGAGUACGGUCGCAAGAUUAAAACUCAAAGGAAUUGACGGGGACCCGCACAAGCGGUGGAUGAUGUGGAUUAAUUCGAUGCAACGCGAAGAACCUUACCUGGUCUUGACAUGUACGGAAUCUCUUAGAGAUAGGAGAGUGCCUUCGGGAACCGUAACACAGGUGCUGCAUGGCUGUCGUCAGCUCGUGUCGUGAGAUGUUGGGUUAAGUCCCGCAACGAGCGCAACCCUUGUCAUUAGUUGCCAUCAUUAAGUUGGGCACUCUAAUGAGACUGCCGGUGAUAUACCGGAGGAAGGUGGGGAUGACGUCAAGUCCUCAUGGCCCUUAUGACCAGGGCUUCACACGUCAUACAAUGGUCGGUACAGAGGGUAGCGAAGCCGCGAGGUGAAGCCAAUCUCAGAAAGCCGAUCGUAGUCCGGAUUGCACUCUGCAACUCGAGUGCAUGAAGUCGGAAUCGCUAGUAAUCGCAGGUCAGCAUACUGCGGUGAAUACGUUCCCGGGUCU
rnacentral:rRNA from 1 species